CGUGUAGGCGGGAAGGUAAGUCGGGCGUGAAAUCCCUGGGCUCAACCCAGGAACUGCACUCGAAACUACUUUUCUUGAGUGCCGGAGAGGAAAGCGGAAUACCUGGUGUAGAGGUGAAAUUCGUAGAUAUCAGGUGGAACACCAGUGGCGAAGGCGGCUUUCUGGACGGUAACUGACGCUGAGACGCGAAAGCGUGGGGAGCAAACA
rnacentral:rRNA from 1 species